rnacentral:rRNA from 1 species
UACGUAGGGUGCAAGCGUUGUCCGGAAUUAUUGGGCGUAAAGGGCUCGUAGGCGGUCUGUCACGUCGGGAGUGAAAACUCAGGGCUUAACCCUGAGCCUGCUUCCGAUACGGGCAGACUAGAGGCAUGCAGGGGAGAACGGAAUUCCUGGUGUAGCGGUGAAAUGCGCAGAUAUCAGGAGGAACACCGGUGGCGAAGGCGGUUCUCUGGGCAUUACCUGACGCUGAGGAGCGAAAGUGUGGGGAGCGAACAGG